UACGGGGGGAGCAAGCGUUGUUCGGAUUUACUGGGCGUAAAGCGCACGUAGGCGGCUUUGUAAGUUAGAGGUGAAAGCCCGGAGCUCAACUCCGGAAUUGCCUUUAAGACUGCAUCGCUUGAAUCCAGGAGAGGUGAGUGGAAUUCCGAGUGUAGAGGUGAAAUUCGUAGAUAUUCGGAAGAACACCAGUGGCGAAGGCGGCUCACUGGACUGGUAUUGACGCUGAGGUGCGAAAGCGUGGGGAGCAAACAGG
rnacentral:rRNA from 1 species